rnacentral:rRNA from 1 species
GAGUUUGAUCCUGGCUCAGAGCGAACGCUGGCGGCAGGCCUAAUACAUGCAAGUCGAGCGGUCCCUUCGGGGGCAGCGGCGGACGGGUGAGUAACGCGUGGGAACGUGCCCUUUGGUACGGAACAACUGAGGGAAACUUCAGCUAAUACCGUAUGUGCCCUUCGGGGGAAAGAUUUAUCGCCAUUGGAGCGGCCCGCGUUAGAUUAGCUAGUUGGUAGGGUAAAGGCCUACCAAGGCGACGAUCUAUAGCUGGUCUGAGAGGAUGAUCAGCCACACUGGGAUUGAGACACGGCCCAGACUCCUACGGGAGGCAGCAGUAGGGAAUCUUGCGCAAUGGGCGAAAGCCUGACGCAGCCAUGCCGCGUGAAUGAUGAAGGUCUUAGGAUUGUAAAAUUCUUUCACCGGGGACGAUAAUGACGGUACCCGGAGAAGAAGCCCCGGCUAACUUCGUGCCAGCAGCCGCGGUAAUACG